GGAAACAGAGGAAUAUUUGAAUAAGCACUUCAGAGGUUUUCUUUUCAGCCAAGGAGGUAAGACCGACAAACCCCACUAGUUGUCCUUACACCCGAAUCUCGGGACGAGAUUCUUUCUAAGGGGGGUAGGCUGUAACGACCUAGAUUAAAUCAGCCCGACCUAGCGCCUUAAAGAGGGUUAUUCCUUGGAAAGUUGAGCAGAACAUCAAGAAAUCCCUUUAUAGAAGUUGGAGAACGAAGUUCCUACCACAACUUUGUUAAUUGGACCUUGGUCCAAUUCACCUCCAAAGCUUCCCAAAUCUGCAGCUCAGAUCAG
rnacentral:lncRNA from 1 species